AUACAGAGGGUGCAAGCGUUAAUCGGAUUUACUGGGCGUAAAGCGCGCGUAGGUGGCUAAUUAAGUCAAAUGUGAAAUCCCCGAGCUUAACUUGGGAAUUGCAUUCGAUACUGGUUAGCUAGAGUAUGGGAGAGGAUGGUAGAAUUCCAGGUGUAGCGGUGAAAUGCGUAGAGAUCUGGAGGAAUACCGACGGCGAAGGCAGCCAUCUGGCCUAAUACUGACACUGAGGUGCGAAAGCAUGGGGAGCAAACAGGAUUAGAUACCCUGGUAGUCCAUGCCGUAAACGAUGUCUACUAGCCGUUGGGGCCCUUGAGGCUUUAGUGGCGCAGCUAACGCGAUAAGUGGACCGCCUGGGGAGUACGGUCGCAAGACUAAAACUCAAAUGAAUUGGCGGGG
rnacentral:rRNA from 1 species